rnacentral:rRNA from 1 species
ACGUGGACCCGUAAUCCGGGUUGCGGACAGUGUCUGGUGGGUAGUUUGACUGGGGCGGUCUCCUCCUAAAGAGUAACGGAGGAGCACGAAGGUUGGCUAAUCCUGGUCGGACAUCAGGAGGUUAGUGCAAUGGUAUAAGCCAGCUUGACUGCGAGCGUGACGGCGCGAGCAGGUGCGAAAGCAGGUCAUAGUGAUCCGGUGGUUCUGAAUGGAAGGGCCAUCGCUCAACGGAUAAAAGGUACUCCGGGGAUAACAGGCUGAUACCGCCCAAGAGUUCAUAUCGACGGCGGUGUUUGGCACCUCGAUGUCGGCUCAUCACAUCCUGGGGCUGAAGUAGGUCCCAAGGGUAUGGCUGUUCGCCAUUUAAAGUGGUACGCGAGCUGGGUUUAGAACGUCGUGAGACAGUUCGGUCCCUAUCUGCCGUGGGCGCUGGAGAAUUGAGGGGGGCUGCUCCUAGUACGAGAGGACCGGAGUGGACGCAUCACUGGUGUUCGGGUUGUCAUGCCAAUGGCACUGCCCGGUAGCUAAAUGCGGAAGAGAUAAGUGCUGAAAGCAUCUAAGCACGAAACUUGCCCCGAGAUGAGUUCUCCCUGACUCCUUGAGAGUCCUGAAGGAACGUUGAAGACGACGACGUUGAUAGGCCGGGUGUGUAAGCGCAGCGAUGCGUUGAGCUAACCGGUACUAAUGAACCGUGAGGCUUAACCUUACAACGCCGAAG